rnacentral:lncRNA from 1 species
AAACCACGAAGAAGACGAAAACGAAAGUAAUGUUAAGCUGCAGAAGUAAACAAAGAAGCUACUAUUGCAAAUGAAGAUGUCAGAAUGACCAAAGGAGACAGAUCAAAUCGCUUCAAAAGUCAAACACGCAGCAGUUUAAUGGCACGGAAUAUUUUACCAGACACUGGACUUUUGUUUGGAUUCUUGCGACGUGACAAACAACUAUCGUAAAAGACAAAAAAAGUGCUUCAGAUACUUCUCAGUUCUCUUUUUAGUGCACAAGACUGUCAAACUGAACGACUGAGACUGAUUUUUACAAACCAGUGUUGAGCUGUUCAGCUGCAGUAUGACAGAGGAGCGAGGAAAGGACUCUCCGUCUGAGAUGAGUCUCUCACAGACACAGAGUGUAAGAUCAGGUUCACAUGUGUCCAGCUCUGUGUCUGUGAAGAGUGACCGUUCAAAAGGUGACAUGCCGAACCUCAGUGAGAAAAAACCAUCAUCUACCAAAAGUGUGAGAUCAGGUUCACAUGUGUCCAGCUCUGUGUCUGUGAAGAGUGACCGUUCAAAAGGUGACAUGCCGAACUUCAGUGAGAAAAAAAUGUCAACUACAAAAAGUGUAAGAUCAGGUUCACAUGUGUCCAGCUUUGUGUCUGUGAAGAGUGAGCGUUCAAAAGGGGACAUGCCAAACUUCAGUGAGAAAAAACCAUCAACUACAAAAAGGUAUUUCAUGUGCUGUACAUUAUAGCGUUGCAUUGUUUCUCUGCUGUGUUUUUUGUGAGAGAACCAGACUGUAAGAAAUUAUAGUGUGCCUCGACCCAGC